AACAGGAUUAGAUACCCUGGUAGUCCAUACCGUAAACGAUGAAUGCUAAGUGUUGGAGGGUUUCCGCCCUUCAGUGCUGCAGCUAACGCAUUAAGCAUUCCGCCUGGGGAGUACGGCCGCAAGGCUGAAACUCAAAGGAAUUGACGGGGGCCCGCACAAGCGGUGGAGCAUGUGGUUUAAUUCGAAGCUACGCGAAGAACCUUACCAGGUCUUGACAUACUAUGCAAAUCUAAGAGAUUAGACGUUCCCUUCGGGGACAUGGAUACAGGUGGUGCAUGGUUGUCGUCAGCUCGUGUCGUGAGAUGUUGGGUUAAGUCCCGCAACGAGCGCAACCCUUAUUAUUAGUUGCCAGCAUUUAGUUGGGCACUCUAGUGAGACUGCCGGUGACAAACCGGAGGAAGGUGGGGAUGACGUCAAAUCAUCAUGCCCCUUAUGACCUGGGCUACACACGUGCCACAAUGGCAUAUACAACGAGUCGCCAACCCGCGAGGGUGCGCUAAUCUCUUAAAGUAUGUCUCAGUUCGGAUUGUAGGCUGCAACUCGCCUACAUGAAGUCGGAAUCGCUAGUAAUCGCGGAUCAGCACGCCGCGGUGAAUACGUUCCCGGGUCUUGUACACACCGCCCGUCACACCAUGAGAGUUUGUAACACCCAAAGCCGGUGGGGUAACCUUUUAGGAGCCAGCCGUCUAAGGUGGGACAGAUGAUUAGGGUGAAGUCGUAACAAGGUAACC
rnacentral:rRNA from 1 species